CACCAAUGUAAACUCUGUCCGCAUGGGACGGGGUUAAAAGCUCCGGCGGUGAAGGAUGAGCCCGCGGCCUAUCAGCUUGUUGGUGGGGUAAUGGCCUACCAAGGCGACGACGGGUAGCCGGCCUGAGAGGGCGACCGGCCACACUGGGACUGAGACACGGCCCAGACUCCUACGGGAGGCAGCAGUGGGGAAUAUUGCACAAUGGGCGAAAGCCUGAUGCAGCGACGCCGCGUGAGGGAUGACGGCCUUCGGGUUGUAAACCUCUUUCAGCAGGGAAGAAGCGAAAGUGACGGUACCUGCAGAAGAAGCGCCGGCUAACUACGUGCCAGCAGCCGCGGUAAUACGUAGGGCGCAAGCGUUGUCCGGAAUUAUUGGGCGUAAAGAGCUCGUAGGCGGCUUGUCACGUCGGAUGUGAAAGCCCGGGGCUUAACCCCGGGUCUGCAUUCGAUACGGGCUAGCUAGAGUGUGGUAGGGGAGAUCGGAAUUCCUGGUGAA
rnacentral:rRNA from 1 species